rnacentral:lncRNA from 10 species
UGGCCUUCUUUGGUAUCUUUGUCUCUUUACCUUGAAGGUGUCUGAGUUGGGGCCAUUCCACCGCAACCUGCCCCUGCUGGACUCAUCUGUGGUUGCACUCAUCAUGAAAGCAAAGUCUUUCUGUCUCUCGGCCUUCCUUUCCUCCCUUGCAAGAAGUCAAACCUGACAGAGGUCGGCAGGCGGGUGGAUGAGUGAGAUGGCUGGGUGGGAAUGAAAAAAAGGUGGAGAGCACAUUUGUUCCCUCCAAAGGGGAUGGUCAUGCCUUUGUGCCAGCCCAUUGUUGAAAUGUGGGAAGGCAAGAACACUAGAUCAUCUGACAUUCAAAAAAAAAUCUGGAAAUCUGAACUUUUAUAGGAGACCUCCUGACUUUUAAACAUUGGCAACACUUACAAAUUUGUUAACUAUGCUGCCUGAGCCAACUAAAACACAUCUGUGAGCCCAGCGCAGUCUGUGAGUCUCCAAUUUGUGACCUGGGGGCUCUGGGCACCUUUUUAGCUCUGAGAGCCAUGGUCUUUCUGAACUGUGAACUCUGCUAAAAAAUAAAAAUAAAAAUAAAAUACCCAAAGCUCUUUUCAUACUUCCUUUUCUUCUUAGGUCCUCAUUGUGCCUCACCUGAGCUAUUGUGACAGCUUCUCUCUAACCUGGUAGGAAUCUGAUUUGGAAAUAGGGUCUUUGCAGAUAUAAUCAAGAUAAGAUGAAGUCCGUGGAGUAGACAUUAAUUCAGUAUGGCUGAUGUCUUUCUAAGAAGAGAAGAGACACAGAGACAGGUACAGACACAGAGGGAGAUGAGGUGGAGAUUGUCAUGCGAUGGUGAAGGCAGAGACUGGAGUGGUGCGUCUACAAGUCAAGGAGUGCCAAGGACUGCCAGUGACACCAGAAGCUAAAAGAAAGGCAUGGAACAGAUUCUGCCCUUCAGGCAUCAGAGAGAACACUGCUCUGCCAGCACCUUGAUUUCAGACUCCUCGCUUCCCAACAGUGAGAGAAUACAUUUCUAUUGCUUUAUUUGUUACAGCAGCCCUAGGAAACCAACACAUUGGCCAAUCAGGGGAUGAGCGCCUAGAAAAGAAAGAAGCUCACCCUACCCAUCUUCUCACCCCUUCUCACUUCUCCGAUAGCAUAUCCAGACUACGAAAACCUGACCUUCCUCUCAGAUUUCCUGUUUCCCAAAAUUUUAACAAUUUCUCUAAACAUUUCCUUGAUUUUCCAGGAAUUUUCAAAUCUAGCUUUGUGCGAACAAGAAAACAUGAAUUAAUCCAUUGCUCGCUGAAAGAAGAUCUUGGAAUGAGUGCGUGGAUCCACAAUUCAUGUAGAUGGCUGCUAUUUCUGUCUGCACUGCAUGCUGAGCAUGAGGGACUCUGGGUAGGAGAGCUCUUCUGGGAGAAGGAGGAGUUUAGAGAGCAAAUCUCUUGCCUGUAGAUCGCUAAGAAUUCUUCUUCUGGAGAC